CACGUAGGGCGCAAGCGUUGUCCGGAAUCAUUGGGCGUAAAGCGCGUGUAGGCGGUCCGGUAAGUCCGCUGUGAAAGUCGGGGGCUCAACCCUCGAAAGCCGGUGGAAACUGUCGGGCUAGAGUGCGGAAGAGGCGAGUGGAAUUCCUGGUGUAGCGGUGAAAUGCGCAGAUAUCAGGAGGAACACCAAUUGCGAAGGCAGCUCGCUGGGACGUUACUGACGCUGAGACGCGAAAGCGUGGGGAGCAAACAGG
rnacentral:rRNA from 1 species